rnacentral:rRNA from 1 species
UACGAAGGGGGCUAGCGUUGCUCGGAAUCACUGGGCGUAAAGCGCACGUAGGCGGAUUGUUAAGUCAGGGGUGAAAUCCUGGAGCUCAACUCCAGAACUGCCUUUGAUACUGGCGAUCUUGAGUCCGGGAGAGGUGAGUGGAACUGCGAGUGUAGAGGUGAAAUUCGUAGAUAUUGCAAGAACACCAGUGGCGAAGGCGGCUCACUGGCCCGGUACUGACGCUGAGGUGCGAAAGCGUGGGGGAGCAAACAGG